AACGAACGCUGGCGGCAUGCCUAACACAUGCAAGUCGAACGAGACCUUCGGGUCUAGUGGCGCACGGGUGCGUAACGCGUGGGAACCUGCCCUUAGGUUCGGAAUAACUCCCCGAAAGGGGUGCUAAUACCGGAUAAUGUCUUCGGACCAAAGAUCUAUCGCCUUUGGAUGGGCCCGCGUUGGAUUAGCCAGUUGGUAGGGUAAAAGCCUACCAAGGCGACGAUCCAUAGCUGGUCUGAGAGGAUGAUCAGCCACACUGGGACUGAGACACGGCCCAGACUCCUACGGGAGGCAGCAGUGGGGAAUAUUGGACAAUGGGCGAAAGCCUGAUCCAGCAAUGCCGCGUGAGUGAUGAAGGCCUUAGGGUUGUAAAGCUCUUUUACCCGGGAUGAUAAUGACAGUACCGGGAGAAUAAGCUCCGGCUAACUCCGUG
rnacentral:rRNA from 1 species